rnacentral:rRNA from 1 species
GCGCAGCAGUCGCGAAAACUUCACACUGUGCGAAAGCACGAUGAGGGAAUCCCAAGUGCUUGCACGUAAGUGUAAGCUGUUUCUCUGUCUAAAACGCAGAGAGAGUAAGGGCUGGGUAAGACGGGUGCCAGCCGCCGCGGUAAUACCUGCAGCUCAAGUGGUGACCGUUAUUAUUGGGCCUAAAACGUCCGUAGCCGGUUUAAUAAAUGCCUGGGUAAAUUGUGUAGCUUAACUAUACGAAUUCCGGGUAGACUGUUAAACUUGAGACCGGGAGAAGUUAGAGGUACUCCUGGGGUAGAGGUGAAAAUUCUGUAAUCCUAGGGGGACCACCAGUGGCGAAGGCGUCUAACUAGAACGGGUCUGACGGUGAGGGACGAAGCCCUGGGGCGCAAACGGGAUUAGAUACCCCGUAGU